rnacentral:misc_RNA from 1 species
CAUCUUUUUCUUACAAACAAGAAAACUCUUAUUAUCCCCCUGAUACCCCUGCCAGGGUAAUCUUCCUUUUAUAAGAAAUAUCAAUGUGUAAGCCAAUGACUCGAGAUCAUCCCUCCGACUUCCAGUUCGGCCUAAAUGUGCAUGUACACUAGCAUACCUUAUUGUUCCCCUGAAUACAUCAGGCCUCUGAUCAUAGUCAACAUGUUGACCAGAUGAUGCAUCUUUCCAUCUAGAUGCCAAACCAAGAUCAAUAAGAUAUAGCUUUUUUUCAUCAGCACUUCCAGGUUGACCAAGCAAAAAAUUUUCUGGUUUCACGUCUCCAUGCACAAACCCCUUCAUAUGAAGCUUUUCAAGAAUUGAUAUUGCCUCCACAGCAAUGCAGGCCACCAUACUUGGUGACAUCGAUUGGCCCAGGGAAUUCCAAACAUCCCAAAGACUGGGUCCAAGCAUGUCCAUGACCAAAAUGUAGAAAUCUCCUUGACGACCCUUGUAAUGCACCCAAGGAAUUCCAUAACAUCCAUUUAAAGUAUUAUACACUUGCCACUCAUAAGGAGGACCAUAAUUGCAACCUUUGCUAUUUCGGUGCUCAAACUUCAAUGCGACCUCAAUUGCAUCAGGUCCAGUUCUGUCAGUACCACCACUUACCCUUCUGCCAACAUAAACUUGGCCAAAACCACCCUUACCCAACUUCCUUUCUAUUUUAUACAUAGGAGAGUUACCCACUUGCACCCUCUCAGGAACUGGAGUCGUGUUUCCUUCUUCUUCAACUCCCAUUGCCUUCUCUGCACUCCCACCAUCCAUCGCAAUAUCUUUGUCUGCCACUACCUCAACUCGAUUAUAACCUGGUUCAGCAGCUCCUAAAGCUGCAGCUUCAACCUCACAAGGUUCUGGAUCUAAAUCUAUCAACCUAAUGCCCCGGCCUCUACCAGCAGCAGUCAGCCUCGUGGGUAUUGCCGGCAAAGCGCCUUUUGCUACACCUGUGGCAUUGCCACCUCUUCCUCUACCACCAACUCUUCUUCUGGUCUUGUUUUGAGCAGGUUGGAUCCAAUUCUCUGCUGGGUUGAUCGGUUGUUGAAGAGUCUGAAGAUCAUCAAGACGCUUCGAUCUCCGGGCUCCACUUCUCAAUUCUGGCAUCCUCAACCCAUGCAAAUUACAUUCCACUUAAUUCCCCUAAUAUCCUUUCAAAUCUCUCUUUUUUGAGAAGAUUCUUUACACGUGCUCUUUAUCAGGCACAUAGUUGAUCCAAAAACUGAAACAUUAACCACUGUUAUGUACACUUAGCCACGUAUACAUACAAAGAUCCAUAAACCCGUAAUCUUUACACGAACUCUUACGUAGGCACACAAAUGAUCCAAAAACAGAAAGAUAAACCAUUAUGAUGCACACUUAAGCACAUAAAGAUAAUAGUACAGAAUCGAUUUAAAUGUCUCACACAUGCAGAGCACAAAACUGAACUUAACCACAUCAUUCGUCUAAAGCCCUACAAGCAACUAAAAUUCGAACAAAUAGCAUAUCCAUAUCAAGAUAAACCAGUUUAUACAAAUUUCUCAAUCAUGACAUCAUACAAGUUCAAAUUGGAGCAAUAAUGAUACUAUCAGUGACUAAAACUGAAAAAAAAAAUCCCAAGAAUAUACAGUUCAGU